AGCGGAAGGAAGCUCACUGUAGAGGUCACGUGCUGAGUGCUCGUCACUCGACCAAUCACCUCGGGGAAGGUCUGAGACAAGAGCCAAUCGCUGUCCUCACAGGACAUCAUCUGAACAGAUGAGCGAGCGCACAGAGAGAAUAUGGGUUAGCGCGCGGUGUUCUCGCACGAGACGUUGAGUCCCGCGCAGUUUCAGCGGAUCAACUGAUGCGAUCCCCGCCGACUUGGAAACACUCGCGGCUGGCGAAUGAGUUCAAUGUGUGAGCUAGUACAAGAUACUAGAACCCAAUUCAGACUACUCUCCCUCCGCU
ensembl:ribozyme RNaseP_nuc Nuclear RNase P